AGCGAACGCUGGCGGCAGGCCUAACACAUGCAAGUCGAGCGGCCGUAGCAAUACGGCAGCGGCAGACGGGAGAGUAACACGUGGGAACGCGCCCUUCGGUUCGGAAUAACUCAGGGAAACUUGGGCUAAUACCGGAUACGCCCUUACGGGGAAAGAUUUAUUGCCGAAGGAACGGCCCGCGUCCGAUUAGCUUGUUGGUGAGGUAACGGCUCACCAAGGCGACGAUCGGUAGCUGGUCUGAGAGGAUGACCAGCCUCACUGGGACUGAGACACGGCCCAGACUCCUACGGGAGGCAGCAGUGGGGAAUAUUGGACAAUGGGCGCAAGCCUGAUCCAGCCAUGCCGCGUGGGUGAUGAAGGCCCUAGGGUUGUAAAGCCCUUUCAGCGGGAAAGAUAAUGACGGUACCCGCAGAAGAAGCCCCGGCUAACUUCGUGCCAGCAGCCGCGGUAAUACGAAGGGGGCUAGCGUUGCUCGGAAUUACUGGGCGUAAAGCGCACGUAGGCGGAUUGUUAAGUCGGGGGUGAAAUCCUGGAGCUCAACUCCAGAACUGCCUUCGAUACUGGCGAUCUCGAGUUCGGGAGAGGUGAGUGGAACUGCGAGUGUAGAGGUGAAAUUCGUAGAUAUUCGCAAGAACACCAGUGGCGAAGGCGGCUCACUGGCCCGAUACUGACGCUGAGGUGCGAAAGCGUGGG
rnacentral:rRNA from 2 species